GCAGUCGAACGCUUCUUUUUCCCCGGAGCUUGCUCCACCGGAAAAAGAAGAGUGGCGAACGGGUGAGUAACACGUGGGUAACCUGCCCAUCAGAAGGGGAUAACACUUGGAAACAGGUGCUAAUACCGUAUAACAAUCAAAACCGCAUGGUUUUGAUUUGAAAGGCGCUUUCGGGUGUCGCUGAUGGAUGGACCCGCGGUGCAUUAGCUAGUUGGUGAGGUAACGGCUCACCAAGGCCACGAUGCAUAGCCGACCUGAGAGGGUGAUCGGCCACAUUGGGACUGAGACACGGCCCAAACUCCUACGGGAGGCAGCAGUAGGGAAUCUUCGGCAAUGGACGAAAGUCUGACCGAGCAACGCCGCGUGAGUGAAGAAGGUUUUCGGAUCGUAAAACUCUGUUGUUAGAGAAGAACAAGGAUGAGAGUAACUGUUCAUCCCUUGACGGUAUCUAACCAGAAAGCCACGGCUAACUACGUGCCAGCAGCCGCGGUAAUACGUAGGUGGCAAGCGUUGUCCGGAUUUAUUGGGCGUAAAGCGAGCGCAGGCGGUUUCUUAAGUCUGAUGUGAAAGCCCCCGGCUCAACCGGGGAGGGUCAUUGGAAACUGGGAGACUUGAGUGCAGAAGAGGAGAGUGGAAUUCCAUGUGUAGCGGUGAAAUGCGUAGAUAUAUGGAGGAACACCAGUGGCGAAGGCGGCUCUCUGGUCUGUAACUGACGCUGAGGCUCGAAAGCGUGGGGAGCAAACAGGAUUAGAUACCCUGGUAGUCCACGCCGUAAACGAUGAGUGCUAAGUGUUGGAGGGUUUCCGCCCUUCAGUGCUGCAGCUAACGCAUUAAGCACUCCGCCUGGGGAGUACGACCGCAAGGUUGAAACUCAAAGGAAUUGACGGGGGCCCGCACAAGCGGUGGAGCAUGUGGUUUAAUUCGAAGCAACGCGAAGAACCUUACCAGGUCUUGACAUCCUUUGACCACUCUAGAGAUAGAGCUUCCCCUUCGGGGGCAAAGUGACAGGUGGUGCAUGGUUGUCGUCAGCUCGUGUCGUGAGAUGUUGGGGUUAAGUCCCGCAACGAGCGCAACCCUUAUUGUUAGUUGCCAUCAUUCAGUUGGCCACUCUAGCAAGACUGCCGGUGACAAACCGGAGGAAGGUGGGGAUGACGUCAAAUCAUCAUGCCCCUUAU
rnacentral:rRNA from 1 species